rnacentral:rRNA from 1 species
AGGGAAUCUUCCGCAAUGGGCGAAAGCCUGACGGAGCAACGCCGCGUGAGUGAUGAAGGUCUUCGGAUCGUAAAACUCUGUUAUUAGGGAAGAACAAAUGUGUAAGUAACUGUGCACGUCUUGACGGUACCUAAUCAGAAAGCCACGGCUAACUACGUGCCUGCAGCCGCGGUAAUACGUAGGUGGCAAGCGUUAUCCGGAAUUAUUGGGCGUAAAGCGCGCGUAAGCGGUUUCUUAAGUCUGAUGUGAAAGCCCACGGCUCAACCGUGGAGGGUCAUUGGAAACUGGGAAACUUGAGUGCAGAAGAGGAAAGUGGAAUUCCAUGUGUAGCGGUGAAAUGCGCAGAGAUAUGGAGGAACACCAGUGGCGAAGGCGACUUUCUGGUCUGUAACUGACGCUGAUGUGCGAAAGCGUGGGGAUCAAACAGGAUUAGAUACCCUGGUAGUCCACGCCGUAAACGAUGAGUGCUAAGUGUUAGGGGGUUUCCGCCCCUUAGUGCUGCAGCUAACGCAUUAAGCACUCCGCCUGGGGAGUACGACCGCAAGGUUG